GUGCCCUAUGCUGCCUGUGCGUGCCCUAUGCUGCCUGUGCGUGCCCUAUGCUGCCUGUGCGUGGGGAUCCUGGCAGGAGUUUGUUAGUAUUUGGAAAUAGUUUUUAGGUGGUCCCUAAGGUGUGUAAUUAGGUGCUGGAGGUUGCUGUGCUAUCCACAGGGGAGGAGGAGGCGGCAUAUGGAUUUAUGGGUGUGGCUUAAAAUGACAAAAUAAAUUUCUUUCACAUAUCGGUAAAGGGUCAAAUCCCUGCAGUGAGCACCAAUUAUUAUUGUGUGCUACCACCAUUAAUGUGGUUAUGGUCUUAAAAGCUUUUGUGAUGAAAUGAUUAUUAUAUAGAUAUUGAUUUCUAAUGGCCUAAACUUUACAUGCUCAGUGUACUCUGGGCUCUCAACAACUUGUGUCAUGUCAUUUACUGUUAAUGUAAGUUCAAUAUACACAUAUAUAUUGCAUUUCCAGUCAUUUUUGUUUGUGUACUUUUAGUUCUACUUUUAAACCGUUUGUUACAGGCCUGCCAGAUAUAUUCAAUACACACUAGGCACGUCAGUCAGUCUGUGGGGCACCUCUAAAGGGUCAACUUGACUUGCCGUUAGGUCAGGUGUCAGUCUGUUGGUAGAAAUUGUUCUCUCGAUACAUCCCAUGGGCUUGAUACAUGUUUAAAGACAGCGUAAAGGAAACCCUUGAAGCAAAUAUAAAAUUGCUUAGGCUGCUCUAAACACAUUUGCAAUUAAUGUGAAUUACUAGACAGUGUAGUGGUUUUUUUUGUUUUUUUGCUGCUGCUGCAAUGAUUGAAACAGCGCCACCUGUUGGUCAGUUCUGCCAACUGGUCUCUAUUCAGGAUAAAUUUUCAGAAACACUCCUGAUAUUGCUCUGCUCCGUCGGCUCCGUUCGUAUACCUACUGUCUGCUACUGAGGGUCUCGGCAUUCAUACAGACGUGAGCGGUGCUUUCUUUGUUACAUAUGGCAAAGAUAUAGUCUGUACCUGGUGUCCUAUGCCAGUGUUAAUGAGAGCCAAUCUUAUAGUACAUGACAUUUUGGCCCUUAUUAGCCUAUUGGCUAAGAGACCAAAUCCAUGCAUAUGAAAUGAUUUCUAAUAGGCUGAGCGGGAAAGGGGUUAAAGAAAAUGUUUAUUCUGCAAUAUUUGGAUUUUACCCUUUCUUGCUUCUUGGGAUUGGCUAAUACCCUAAGUAGAAUUCUGUUAUGAAUGAUGCUGGAAUUAAUUUAAAAAAAAAACUAAUGCCUAAAGGGCUAAACUGUUCCUUGUAAGAAUUAAGGGUUUAUGAGUACUGCUGAGAUGCUGGCCAGUACCACACGGUCACCAGUAGGUGGCAGCCCUGUCUUACUGGAAAUCUCAGGCUCUAACUGAGAAGAAAAUGUUUUCCCUUGCCUGUUUCUCACUGCAUAUUAAAUGCCCAUAUUGUUCAUGACACAUGGUGGGGGGGCUCCUUGCCUGUAAAUGAUUAGAGAUGGAUUAGAUCCCUAUAGAGGGAACAAUGUAAGCAGUGGGCAAUUAACAACUCUGCUUGUAACCUUUCUGUCUUUUUGUUUUCUCCUAUAGCCAGCGACCCUAACAACAAGAUAGUACUUAAAAUGCCAGACUGGAGUGUUGCAGCACUUACCCAUUUAAUUUAUACUAAGUUCAUUUUAAAACCAGCUUAGUGGCCUCAGACUGGGCAGAGUCCCAUUCCAUUACCAAGGGCUCUUUCAUAUGGCGCUUUAGCGUUCUGCUGCCGGCAAUGAGAUGGCUGGGUUUUAAUCAAAUGGAGAGAAGG